GGCCUUGGGUCUCGGUCCGGCUCAAACGAGUUGUGUACCUGGGACCUGAGGCCAUCCUCGAGAAAAACAUAUCUGUCAUUAAGUUAAUGGGUAUGGGAUUCUCGUCAUUUACUGUGAGCAAAAUAGGGUGUUCAAAGCAGGCUUAUGCCGUUGAAUACAUUAGCAUGGAAUAAUAAGAUAGGACCUUGGUCUAUUUUGUUGGUUUGUACUCCAAGGUA
rnacentral:rRNA from 1 species